rnacentral:rRNA from 1 species
UACAGAGGGUGCGAGCGUUAAUCGGAUUUACUGGGCGUAAAGAGCGCGCAGGCGGUCGUUCAAGUCGAGUGUGAAAGCCCCCGGCUCAACUGGGGAGGGUCAUUCGAUACUGAUCGACUCGAAGGCAGGAGAGGGAAGUGGAAUUCCCGGUGUAGUGGUGAAAUGCGUAGAUAUCGGGAGGAACACCAGUGGCGAAGGCGGCUCACUGGCCCGGUACUGACGCUGAGGCACGAAAGCGUGGGGAGCAAACAGG